rnacentral:lncRNA from 1 species
UUUAGCAUCGCGUUUCAUCAUCGGUUCGCGUCUGCAGUCUCUCACCACAUCGGCUCCAGAAUUCACAUUUCAGUUUAUAAAGGCCACGUUUCACAAGUUGCAGUCAAAAGAAGAAAUAAGUGCUUAUACAACAAGCUUAGCAACAUGUCCUUAACUAAAUUAUUUGAAAUAGAACCAUAAUCACAAUGCAAAAUCGCGGAUUGAAACAACAAAUAACUCACUGGGACGCUUAAUUUCCUUCUACUCUUCGUGCUGCUUCUGUUGCGUAUCAUUGAGUCUGCGAGUUUCAUUCAUUUUUGUGAUUUUGAAUGCGUUCUCGUGAUGAAUACGAUUUUGAUGCGUGUAUUUUUGAUGCGUGUAUUUUUGAUGCCUGCGUGAAGAAGAAUGAAUGAAAUGUUUCACUUUUUCUGUAUGAAGAAAUGAAGAAUGAAGGUUUUGGAUUUGUUUCUAUGAAUGAAGUGUGAGAGUGAAUAAUGAAUUUGAGGAGUGAAGUUUUAAUUUUAUAGGCUAUGAAAUCGGUUGGAAAUCAAAAUGAAUUCACCUCAAAUCCAAUAGUUAGUUACAAAUUCACUUUUAGUUAGUUAUUAGUUAGAAAUUCAAUUGGUGAGAUAGUUGUGAAUUCAAAGUGAAUUUGUCUUGAAUUUCAUUUUUAUGUCAUUUUCGUUUUUCC